ACGGAGUUAGCCGGGGUUUCUUUACCAGGUACUGUCAUUAUCAUCCCUGGCGAAAGAGCUUUACGACCCUAGGGCCUUCAUCACUCACGCGGCAUGGCUGGAUCAGGGUUUCCCCCAUUGUCCAAGAUUCCUC
rnacentral:rRNA from 1 species